rnacentral:rRNA from 1 species
UACGUAGGGACCGAGCGUUGUCCGGAAUCAUUGGGCGUAAAGAGCGUGUAGGCGGCUUGGUAAGUCGGCUGUGAAAGUCGGGGGCUCAACCCUCGAAUGCCGGCCGAUACUGUCAAGCUAGAGUCCGGAAGAGGCGAGUGGAAUUCCUGGUGUAGCGGUGAAAUGCGCAGAUAUCAGGAGGAACACCAAUGGCGAAGGCAGCUCGCUGGGACGGUACUGACGCUGAGACGCGAAAGCGUGGGGAGCAAACAGG